UACUACGUGAUCCAACAGGACAUUGCCCUUUCACGGCGACGACGCGGGUUCAAAUCCCGCCGGGGACGCCA
rnacentral:tRNA from 1 species